UUUAAAAAAAAAAAAAAAUGAAAUCAUGCUAUAUGACAACUAGGCACGUCCACCUACACCUAUUUGAAAAACCAAAUUCCAGUUAAAAAAACACAGCUUGACAAUUACAGAACAACACUUUUCAUCCCCCCAUUUUGUGCUUCAAAGGUUGUAAAGAUCAUUAAUCAAGGUAAUCUGAUAAGAUCGAGCAGCAAACACACACAUCCAAACAUACAUUUUCCAGCAACAAAAGUGGCUCAAUAUUGGCCCAUAACACACAGAGAAACCUGUAUAACAACAGGCCUCUUCGCAAAUAUCCAGUGAGACAACUCAUAAUUUGAACAUAACAUAGCCAUACCAAGCAGCCUUUCUUCCUCAAAUAACCACCGUCAAUGACCUGAAAUACCACUUGUUAGUUGCUACGAUAUUGUUAGUAGCGCCAACACUUUAAUUCCGUUCCAGUUUUCACAAAGAUGUAGGUCUCCUUUAAAGCAUAUAAGACAUAAUGCCAUGACACCAAACGAUUCAAAUAAACAAGGUUUGACUAAGAGGUGGAGCUUUCUCGCUGGAGCCAAGCAAAGAAAAAUUACUAAGAAUCCAAAAGCUACUAUAUUCUUCUCUUCACGUUUCAUAAACCCUUAAAAAUGAAACGUUUAUAAGUGGUUCAAUUUCUCUCUUGCAUUGGAAUCUAAUUUUAAGAACUCAUUCUCUUCAAUUCCAAAGUUGAGUGAAAAACUUCAAUUUAAGAGAUGGCUAUUAUGAAUUUUUCUUCAAAUCCCACAAAAAUUGAAGAUUUGGGUUCUAAUCACAUUGAUUGAGAGAUUGAUAUACGAAGAGAAUCGAAUGCAGUAAAACGGAAAGUACAAAUUAUAAUCUUAACCUGCAAGUGCCCUCAACAUCUU
rnacentral:misc_RNA from 1 species